rnacentral:rRNA from 1 species
UACGAAGGGGGCUAGCGUUGCUCGGAAUCACUGGGCGUAAAGCGCACGUAGGCGGCUUUCUAAGUCAGGGGUGAAAUCCUGGAGCUCAACUCCAGAACUGCCUUUGAUACUGGAGAGCUCGAGUCCGGAAGAGGUGAGUGGAACUCCGAGUGUAGAGGUGAAAUUCGUAGAUAUUCGGAAGAACACCAGGGGCGAAGGCGGCUCACUGGUCCGGUACUGACGCUGAUGUGCGAAAGCGUGGGGAGCAAACAGG